UACGAAGGGGGCUAGCGUUGUUCGGAUUUACUGGGCGUAAAGCGCACGUAGGCGGAUCGUUAAGUCGGGGGUGAAAUCCUGGAGCUCAACUCCAGAACUGCCUUUGAUACUGGCGACCUUGAGUCCGGGAGAGGUGAGUGGAACUGCGAGUGUAGAGGUGAAAUUCGUAGAUAUUCGGAAGAACACCAGUGGCGAAGGCGGCUCACUGGUCCGGUACUGACGCUGAGGUGCGAAAGCGUGGGGAGCGAACAGG
rnacentral:rRNA from 1 species